CAAAAAAAAAAAAAAAAAAGCUAGACUCUGAAGUCAGUUUGCCAGGGUCUGUGAGUGGAAAUGUUACAAAGAAGCUUCUCAUGAAAACUUGACUCUCAAAUGAGCCAAAGGCAGUGAUGCCCAGAAAUGGAGUUGUGGUAACACUUAAAGGAAUGUAUCAGUUGUCUAUUGCUCUAUAAUGAACCCCAAAACUUAGUAGCUUCAAAUGAUUAGCUUAUUCUUUCACACGGUCUCCGUGGAUCAGGAGUCAAGGGCAACUUAAUUGGGUGCUUCUCACUUGGAGUCUCUUGUGAGACUACAGUCACCUGAGGUUUAGACUGGGGCUGGAGGACCCACUUCCCAGAUGGCUCACCCACCUGGCUGUCGGCAGGAGGCUGCAGUUCCUCUCCAUGUGGUCGUCUUCACAGGUCUGGACUUGGGAGAGGGAUCUGGACUGAAGUGGAGGAAUCCAGUACAAGUAGUGGAGCCGUCUGAAAUCUUGAGAUGGGGUCUUGCUCUGUCAUCCACGCUGGAGUGCAGUGGCACAAUCAUAGCUCACUGCAGCCUCAAGAUUCCUAACUCAAGCAGUUCUCUUGCCUCAGUCUACCAAAUAGCUGGGACUACAGGUGCAUGCCACCAUGCCUGGCUAGGCUUGUGAAAUUUCUAUACAACAACCUCAUUUCUCUGUUUCUUACAUUCUAAACUCCCACGAAGUAAGUUUGUGGAUAUUUGACUUGCUGAAAAUCAUACAAAUGAACUUUCCUAAUUCUAUUUUCUCUGUGGAACACAGAUUAUUAAAGUGAGAAUUAAUGUGUGCCUGGGACAGUUUUGGCUUC
rnacentral:lncRNA from 1 species